UUCUUCGGUAAAGUGUACACCCUAGUCAGCUGUUGAUAGCAAGCUUCAACACGCGAAAGGCCAAAACAAGAAUUUUGUCUCUACUUAUAAAUACUAUUUACCAUUCAUUCUCUCACAAAAUAUGACAAUGGAGGUAGGAGUCAAACGCAGCUUUGAGGAAGAGUUCGCAGAAUCUGAAAAGAUGAUGAAGAUUGAUGAAGGAGGUGGAGAAGAUGAAGAAGAGAAAACUCUUCAGGUAUUGGCACAGUUUUGCUC